GGUUAAGCGACUAAGCGUACACGGUGGAUGCCCUGGCAGUCAGAGGCGAUGAAGGACGUGCUAAUCUGCGAAAAGCGUCGGUAAGGUGAUAUGAACCGUUAUAACCGGCGAUGUCCGAAUGGGGAAACCCAGUGUGAUUCGUCACACUAUCGUUAACUGAAUACAUAGGUUAACGAGGCGAACCGGGGGAACUGAAACAUCUAAGUACCCCGAGGAAAAGAAAUCAACCGAGAUUCCCCCAGUAGCGGCGAGCGAACGGGGAGCAGCCCAGAGUCUGAAUCAGCUUGUGUGUUAGUGGAACGGUCUGGAAAGUCCGACGGUACAGGGUGAUAGUCCCGUACACCAAAAUGCACAGGCUGUGAACUCGAAGAGUAGGGCGGGACACGUGGUAUCCUGUCUGAAUAUGGGGGGACCAUCCUCCAAGGCUAAAUACUCCUGACUGACCGAUAGUGAACCAGUACCGUGAGGGAAAGGCGAAAAGAACCCCGGCGAGGGGAGUGAAAAAGAACCUGAAACCGUGUACGUACAAGCAGUGGGAGCACCUUCGGGUGUGACUGCGUACCUUUUGUAUAAUGGGUCAGCGACUUAUAUUCUGUAGCAAGGUUAACCGUAUAGGGGAGCCGCAGGGAAACCGAGUCUUAACUGGGCGUUAAGUUGCAGGGUAUAGACCCGAAACCCGGUGAUCUAGCCAUGGGCAGGUUGAAGGUUGGGUAACACUAACUGGAGGACCGAACCGACUAAUGUUGAAAAAUUAGCGGAUGACUUGUGGCUGGGGGUGAAAGGCCAAUCAAACCGGGAGAUAGCUGGUUCUCCCCGAAAGCUAUUUAGGUAGCGCCUCGUGAAUUCAUCUUCGGGGGUAGAGCACUGUUUCGGCUAGGGGGUCAUCCCGACUUACCAACCCGAUGCAAACUACGAAUACCGAAGAAUGUUAUCACGGGAGACACACGGCGGGUGCUAACGUCCGUCGUGAAGAGGGAAACAACCCAGACCGCCAGCUAAGGUCCCAAAGUCAUGGUUAAGUGGGAAACGAUGUGGGAAGGCACAGACAGCCAGGAUGUUGGCUUAGAAGCAGCCAUCAUUUAAAGAAAGCGUAAUAGCUCACUGGUCGAGUCGGCCUGCGCGGAAGAUGUAACGGGGCUAAACCAUGCACCGAAGCUGCGGCAGCGACACUAUGUGUUGUUGGGUAGGGGAGCGUUCUGUAAGCCUGCGAAGGUGACCUGUGAGGGUUGCUGGAGGUAUCAGAAGUGCGAAUGCUGACAUAAGUAACGAUAAAGCGGGUGAAAAGCCCGCUCGCCGGAAGACCAAGGGUUCCUGUCCAACGUUAAUCGGGGCAGGGUGAGUCGACCCCUAAGGCGAGGCCGAAAGGCGUAGUCGAUGGGAAACAGGUUAAUAUUCCUGUACUUGGUGUUACUGCGAAGGGGGGACGGAGAAGGCUAUGUUAGCCGGGCGACGGUUGUCCCGGUUUAAGCAUGUAGGCUGGUUGUCCAGGCAAAUCCGGAUAAUCAAGGCUGAGGUGUGAUGACGAGGCACUACGGUGCUGAAGUAACAAAUGCCCUGCUUCCAGGAAAAGCCUCUAAGCAUCAGGUAACAUCAAAUCGUACCCCAAACCGACACAGGUGGUCAGGUAGAGAAUACCAAGGCGCUUGAGAGAACUCGGGUGAAGGAACUAGGCAAAAUGGUGCCGUAACUUCGGGAGAAGGCACGCUGGUGUGUAGGUGAAGUCCCUGCGGAUGGAGCUGAGACCAGUCGAAGAUACCAGCUGGCUGCAACUGUUUAUUAAAAACACAGCACUGUGCAAACACGAAAGUGGACGUAUACGGUGUGACGCCUGCCCGGUGCCGGAAGGUUAAUUGAUGGGGUUAUCCGUAAGGAGAAGCUCUUGAUCGAAGCCCCGGUAAACGGCGGCCGUAACUAUAACGGUCCUAAGGUAGCGAAAUUCCUUGUCGGGUAAGUUCCGACCUGCACGAAUGGCGUAAUGAUGGCCAGGCUGUCUCCACCCGAGACUCAGUGAAAUUGAACUCGCUGUGAAGAUGCAGUGUACCCGCGGCAAGACGGAAAGACCCCGUGAACCUUUACUAUAGCUUGACACUGAACAUUGAGCCUUGAUGUGUAGGAUAGGUGGGAGGCUUUGAAGCGUGGACGCCAGUCUGCGUGGAGCCAACCUUGAAAUACCACCCUUUAAUGUUUGAUGUUCUAACGUUGGCCCCUGACCGGGGUUGCGGACAGUGUCUGGUGGGUAGUUUGACUGGGGCGGUCUCCUCCCAAAGCGUAACGGAGGAGCACGAAGGUUAGCUAAUCCUGGUCGGACAUCAGGAGGUUAGUGCAAUGGCAUAAGCUAGCUUGACUGCGAGCGUGACGGCGCGAGCAGGUGCGAAAGCAGGUCAUAGUGAUCCGGUGGUUCUGGAUGGAAGGGCCAUCGCUCAACGGAUAAAAGGUACUCCGGGGAUAACAGGCUGAUACCGCCCAAGAGUUCAUAUCGACGGCGGUGUUUGGCACCUCGAUGUCGGCUCAUCACAUCCUGGGGCUGAAGUAGGUCCCAAGGGUAUGGCUGUUCGCCAUUUAAAGUGGUACGCGAGCUGGGUUUAGAACGUCGUGAGACAGUUCGGUCCCUAUCUGCCGUGGGCGCUGGAGAAUUGAGGGGGGCUGCUCCUAGUACGAGAGGACCGGAGUGGACGCAUCACUGGUGUUCGGGUUGUCAUGCCAAUGGCACUGCCCGGUAGCUAAAUGCGGAAGAGAUAAGUGCUGAAAGCAUCUAAGCACGAAACUUGCCCCGAGAUGAGUUCUCCCUGAGACUUUAAGUCUCCUGAAGGAACGUUAAAGACGAUGACGUUGAUAGGCCGGGUGUGUAAGCGCAGCGAUGCGUUGAGCUAACCGGUACUAAUGAACCGUGAGGCUUAACCUU
rnacentral:rRNA from 1 species